AACCCAUGAUGAGGGCACCUUCUCAAUAAGUCCUUAUACCUCUCACAUGCAUCGUAUAGGGUCUCUAAUUCCAUCUACACAAAAGAAGAGAUAUCAUUCCUCAACUU
rfam:Gossypium hirsutum cultivar TM-1 unplaced genomic scaffold scaffold149.1, whole genome shotgun sequence